GGAGAAAUGAUGACUUCUGGAGUCCUUUGUAGUUUUCCUGCUUUCCUGCUACAUUAAUCAACACAGAGGCCUUCCAUAUUACAACCCUCGAUGGUAUCGUAGGGAGAAAUGAUGACUUCUGGAGACCUUUGUAGUUUUCCUGCUUUCCUGCUACCUUAAUCUACACAGAGGCCUUCCAUAUUACAACCCUGGACGGUAUCGUAGCGAGAAAUGAUGACUUAUGGAGUGCUUUCUAGUUUUCCUGCUUUCCUGCUACCUUAAUCUACACAGAGGCCUUCCAUAUUACAACCCUCGAUGGUAUCGUAGGGAGAAAUGAUGAUUUCUGGAGUCCUUUGUAGUUUUCCUGCUUUCCUGCUACAUUAAUCAACACAGAGGCCUUCCAUAUUACAACCGUCGAUGGUAUCGUAGGGAGAAAUGAUGACUUCUGGAGUCCUUUGUAGUUUUCCUGCUUUCCUGCUACAUUAAUCAACACAGAGGUAUCGUUUGAUUAACUGGCGAUAUCCCAGCAUGUAUCUAAAGCAUUUGCUUUAUUUCAGGCCUUCCAUAUUACAACCCUCGAUGGUAUCGUAGGGAGAAAUGAUGACUUCUGGAGACCUUUGUAGUUUUCCUGCUUUCCUGCUACCUUAAUCUACACAGAGGCCUUCCAUAUUACAACCCUGGACGGUAUCGUAGCGAGAAAUGAUGACUUAUGGAGUGCUUUCUAGUUUUCCUGCUUUCCUGCUACCUUAAUCUACACAGAGGCCUUCCAUAUUACAACCCUCGAUGGUACCUAUCGUAGGGAGAAAUGAUGACUUCUGGAGUCCUUUGUAGUUUUCCUGCUUUCCUGCUACAUUAAUCAACACAGAGGCCUUCCAUAUUACAACCCUCGAUGGUAUCGUAGGGAGAAAUGAUUACUUCUGGAGUCCUUUGUAGUAUUCCUGCUUUCCUGCUACCUUAAUCUACACAGAGGCCUUCCAUAUUACAACCCUCGAUGGUAUCGUAGGGAGAAAUGAUGACUUCUGGAGUGCUUUGUAGUUUUCCUGCUUUCCUGCUACCUUAAUCUACACAGAGGCCUUCCUUAUUGCAACCCUCGAUGUGUCGUGUUUUAGCCGCCGAUAAGGAAAACCAGCUCUGCCGAACACAACUGUGAAGUUUCGAAUUGUUCCCGCAGAGAUAGUAAAUUAUUUUUGUAGCAUCCGGCAACCCUCGCCAUGGAGAAUCAGGGGAAGAAUUAAUAUUUUAGGAUUUCAGCUCCGUUAAAACGAGCAUUAAUGCUGCAAGGCCAUGCAGUUUAUUUCAUUAUCGCAAAGCUUUUACGAUUGACCCCAAAUUCGAUGGAACAGUGGGCAUUCCUAGGCUACCGAAUUUGGAAAUUUCAGCUCGGCCAUUUGAGUGAGCAUAAAUACCGGUAGCUUAUGAGAUGUGCUGCAGCUCGUCUGAUUAGAUUGGGUCUAGUAUCAAAUGAUGCGCGCUCAAUUAACGUGAACUGCAAGAUUAGUCUCCGUUCUUUAAGACGCCAGGACGUUAUUAUCCGAGUACGUCGACCGGCUGGGAAAUCCGAGUUUCAUUUCCAAAUAUUUUUGGGAAUUCUAUAUAAGGUAGCAGUAUGAUUUAGAGGGGAUUUGCAUUUUUUUGUAUGUUGUCGUGCUUUUUAGACCGUUUUCGUUUUGUUCAAUUGUAGGUCAUUUUUAAGUCAAAUAAGUUUAUUUUUUU